GGAUGUGAGGGCGAUCUGGCUGUGACAUCUGUCACCCCACUGAUCACCAGGGUUGAUUCGGCUGAGCUGGCUGGCUAGGUGGGUGUCCCCUUCCUCCCUCACCACUCCACGUGCCUCCCUCCUGAAGCUGCCUGCUUGAUUGAAGAGGACAACCUUCCCCAAUAGAAGGAGGACCGUCCUUCGGUCAAGGGUACACGAGUAGCUGUGCUUCCCUGCUAGAACCUCCAAACAAGUCUUAAGGCCCAAAGUUGGAUGACAGCCACUGAUGGCUCCUGGAACCGGUAGCCAAUAUGGCAGGCCUUUAGCU
rnacentral:snRNA from 1 species